GGGAAAGUGAAAAAAUCUAGGAAUAAUUUUAUUCACAAAUUUAUAAAUUCACGUAAAACAUUUAUUUUAUAGCAGCGUCGUUUAAAUUAAACCUAAAUAUUGACCAUUAUGUAUCAUUAAUAUUUUGCACUAUAUUCGAGUUUUCAAAAAUAUAUUACUUUUAGAAAUUUAUGAAAAAUGCAUAAAAGCGUUACUUCAAAUAUUUUGUGGUACAUAGAAUUCAUAGCUUUCUUUAUUUUAUUGUCAUUGUUUUUCGUCUACUUCUUAUACUUGGCGAGGUUAAAUUAUAUAUCGUACAAUAGAAGAUACGAUUUUAUACGAAAAUACAUAGCUGAUGGGACUUGGCUAAUUCAGGGCUAAUAUUAGAUAAAGCAAAAAAUCCUGGAAAUUACAGAAAAUACGGAAAAGCUUGCUAAAAUAAAUGUACCGAAAGUAAAACCGAAGGUUACCAUUGUAACUCCGAAUCAAAGGCCAAUAUGUGUGGAACGCAGUUGUAUAUGGUUUUGCAGGAUGGUUGCCAGCAUAUUUACAGUUUCAUUGUGCUACUACUUUGCGUAUUCUCUCGUUAAUAACACCAAACUGAAGUUCGGCUUAUUCUUGCCACCCUAAGCCUUUAAACAUUAAUAUACAUAUUCGAUCAUUAGCUAAUUGCUUUUGGUACGCAUUUUUUAGAAGCGUUAUAGAUUCCUUUAUUUAAAUGCCUUUUCCGCGUAAAAUUUCUUGGGAUCCAACAUUAUUCUGGUGCUGUGGCUUAAUGAUUUCUAUAUUAAUGUUGUUCAUGUUUUUGGUUUAUCAUUUCAAGCAUUGACAUACCAACGAAUGGACGUCGGAUGAGCGCUAAAAAGUUAAAAUCGCAUACAGAGCGUCAAUCGCGCAACAGUCUUCGUUUGUUCGACUGACAGCGCGGUUGUCAAUCAUGCAGUACCUACCAAUAAUAAUAACUUUUAAAAGUUACUACAGUAAAGUGUAGAAACAGGAUUUUGUUACAUAUUUUCACUUAACAAAUUGUGUUGUCAUAG